CUCCAUACAGGCUUUUGAAGAAAAGAGAAUGGUUUGGCCUCCAAAUUGCAUCGUCAAAAAUAUGAAACUAGUGAAGAUCACUCCAAAAUUAGCCAUUGAGAGUAUGAAAGCCUACCGCCACAUGAUAUGCAUGCCACUGGCAAAAGGCAAGUGAGAACUACGUGAAUUUCCACCAUCACUGAU
rnacentral:lncRNA from 1 species